AUGAUGAACUUUUUUCUGUACAAUGGAGAUAGUUCAGGUGGGGUGUAUAUUCAGCUUGGCUGUAGAAUAACCACGACACCGACCAUCACCUGUCCGGCAAAGUGGACCAAAUCGAAAAACAGCCUACCUCCACAAAAUCAACAGCGCCCAACCACAGUUUUACUGCAGCCACCAACGAACUUCAUUAGGAUCCUAAUCAGGCAAAGAGACCACAAGACCUUGCUCAUCUUGGGGACCACCGCACCACGGAGCGGACCAUCGAGAGAUGGUCGUUCAGGAGCUUGCGGCGGCGCGCGGCACUCGGCCAUCAGGUUCCACCCUCUUCUUCCUCAACGCCAACUUGAGUUGCAACAGGGUGUAGUACCUCGCAGCAUUGUGCCUGCAUCUGCUGCGUGGAACCAACCACAAUAUUCAGGUCAAAAGACAAAUGAGUUCGAACACACACCUCGUCGCCGCUCCUCUCUCUAG
rnacentral:rRNA from 1 species